rnacentral:rRNA from 1 species
CUUUACUGUAGCCUGGUAUUGGGUUCGGGCUUUGACUGCGCAGGAUAGGUGGGAGACUAUGAAGCUGCCCUUGUGGGGGCAGUGGAGUCAUCAGUGAGAUACCACUCUGUCAAGGCUAGAAUUCUAACCGUAUGCCGUUAUCCGGCGACGGAACAGUAUCAGGUGGGCAGUUUGACUGGGGCGGUCGCCUCCUAAAUGGUAACGGAGGCGCGCAAAGGUUCCCUCAGGCUGGUUGGAAAUCAGCCGAAGAGUGUAAAGGCAGAAGGGAGCUUGACUGCGAGAGCAACAACUCAAGCAGGGACGAAAGUCGGCCUUAGUGAUCCGACGGCGCUGAGUGGAAGGGCCGUCGCUCAACGGAUAAAAGUUA